CUCAUGCCUUUUGACAUUAUCCAAGAAGCUGGGAUAGGCCUGGGUAGGGCAAGGAUGGAGGCUCCAGCCAAACACCAGAGACUCAAACUCUUUGUGAGAGUGGCCCUGCCUCAGUAGUAACUUCAUGCUUUUUGGGUAGGUCCAGCCUUGUAUUCCAAACCAGACCAUCAAUGAUUGAGAGACGUAGUGUGUUGCCUGCUUUCCUCUCUCUCUCCACCUUUUGCCCUCUGCACAGUGCUGCGCACUCGGAAAGAUCCCAAUGCAGCGGUAUGGUAAGGGUUGACUGCUAACAUCUGCAAGAGGCGCUCAAGCAGUUCUCAGCCCUGCUGCCCAUUGGAAUUUCCUGGAGAGGCUUAAAAGAUACCCAGAAAUUUUGACCUAAUUGGUAUGGGCUGUGGCAUCAGGUAAAGAAACAUUUAUUUAUAUCCUUAGAAAAUGAGCCGACUCAGACUUAUUCCUGAGCACAGCCCCUUCUUUGGGGGAGAAAUACAGUAUAUUUUAAGGCAGUCUUUAUAUUCUUAAAAUAUAGUAUUCUUUAUUACAGCUUUACUGUAAGUAAUGAUUUAAGUUUAGGGAUAGUUUUUUUUUUAAUUAAUUUUAUUGAGGCAUAGUUUGCACAUACUACGAUAUCCCCAUUGAAAGGGUACAGUUCAUGAGUUUCGACAAACGUAGACAUUUAUGUAACCACCACCCCAGUGAAGAUGUAGAAUAAUCCACCAUCCCAGAAAGUUCUCUUGUGGGCAUGGGAUUUUCGAAGCUCCCCAGGUGAUUCUAUGGUGCAGCGGACUCUGAGCAUCAUGGAGGCUCACUCAACAAUCUCUGCUUUAGAAUCUCAGAGAGGUUGUCCAGGACAGCACUUCUCACACUUUAGCAUGCAUCUCCUCGGAUCUGGCUGAAUGCCCAUUCCAUCCCAGAGUGGGGCCCGGAACCCUGCAUUCCUAACAAGCCCAAACCACACUUUGAGGCUCUGCUACAAGUCUCUCAUUUUGGAGGUGAAGGAAACGGAGGCUGAGAGUGUUGAUGUGAGUGGCUUGCAAAUCCUGAUUUUGAAGCUCCUGGACUAACGACAAUCAUAUCACUUGCCCUUCAAUCUCUUUUUCGAUAGCCACCCUAACCCGGAAUCCUAAACAAGAGGUGUGGCCAUGAUAGUAUCUCUCCCCUAUUUCCCUUCUGAGUGUUGUCCAUUGCUUCUAGCCUAUUCCCAUCUUUCUUGUCCUGACCCAAGUCACCUUCCUGGGGAAGGGCCCCCUCCUCUGCCUGUUUCUGAACCAGCACCUACCUUUUCCCUAUCAACAGCUCGCUUUCCUCGUUCAUUCCAUUCCUUAAUAUGUAUCAACUCAAUUUAAUAAGCAAGAGUUUAUUUAGCAAUAGAACUGGGUCAGACCCUAUCGUGCCCUUGAGGAGGAAGGCAAACUAGAAGCUGUGAUUAAGUUAACAGAUAAGACAAAUAAAUAACAGGAUAUAUAAGGUGAGGAGAGACCUUAGUGACUGCCCAGCUCAGUUCCUCAUUUUAUAGGUAAUGUUUAAGAGCAAUGACCCACUCCUACUUUCAGCAAGGAGGUGCACAUAGCAUAGAUCCAUAGAAGAGGAGGGAUCUGAGAAGGAGUUUGAAAAAGGUGUAGGAGAGGCUGUGAGAAAACAAGGCGGGUGUCCUGGCUGAGGGCAGGAAGGAGACAUUGCGAUGGAAAUUGGGCCCCACUGUCUUGGAGGAUUGGGAAAAGGAGCUGUGGACUGAGUGGCCCACACAACUGCUAUAACCUCAGGCAGUUUUCAAGCAGAUUGACCUUCCUGCUGGAACACGGCAGGUGAGGUGAGGUUCUUCUCUAUCCAGGUCUGUCCUUAGCACCUUAUGCAGGGUUUAACCCCCAUGGGCAUAAAGAGGGUGUGUAUCUGGGGUGGUUUGGGGAUUAGGUCCCAUGAGCACUGGGACCUGGAGAUGCUUGGUCUAGAGAAGGAAAGAUGUUUGGUCUGGGAAACAUGGGGGUCAUGUUUAAUAUUAGAUAGGCAGUCACAUGGGAUAUUUAAUUAGCACUGUGGAAUUUAGAGAGAGGCAGGUUUCACUUCACCUUUGGGAAGUGCUAGGUUCUAACACACCUCCCUCCCCUGGAAAGAGAUUGAACUACCACAGAUUGAAUCCCUUGGGAGGAAGGAAUUUCAGUCCCUGAAUGUGGACAGCUGAGGCUGGAUGAGAACAGAGAGAUGUCAGAUGUCCAAGCCUCUGUGUCCAUCCCUGAGAGUCCACUAGGGGAAGCCAGUCAUCAUGGUAGCCUGAUGUUCAUCUUCAUGUCUGAGGUUCUGCCCCAGAGCAAUUUCCCUGUGGCCAUCUGGCUGGGAAACAUGUUUCAUUUCCCUCCCAGAGGAACAGGCACCUCAUUUGCCUCCCAGAAUAGAUCCACAUCCAGAAGAAUGUAAUGGAGACAGGCAAGAACACAGAAGAUUGCAUAGGUUUAGGAAAGAAGAAGGCAACAAGGUUCUGUUGGGUUGCAUCUGAGGAAUCUUAGGUACCUAAAAAAAUAGGUCUGGAAUUAAAAUAAGAUGUUAGUGUUGAAGGUAUAGAAAUGGGAGUUAAAAUGAUGGCAUGAAGCUUAUCUAGGGAGAUCAUGCAGCUCCAGAUGAUUGUGGACUGAAUGUCUUGUAGGGUUUUGGGGAGGAUGAAAUGUGAGUGGAAUUUGGCCAUGAUCAGCCCUUAGAGUCGGCCUGAGCCCUGCCCUGGCCAGCUGUGUGUCCUUGGAUACGCCAAGGUGAAGUUUCCUCUUCUUCAUAACGUUCAGACCUGCCCCUGGAAAAAAGAGCCCAGACCUCAUCAUGAAUGCUGUCCUAGGAGAAAAUGAACAGCUGGAGAAUGCUCCUGAUCAGUAGGCCUGAAGGAUGCUGGGAUACAGCCUUCAAGAUGGAGCAGCCAGGAUGCCAAGUAUCCCUCUUGCCCAGAUCUAAGGCACUUUUUCCUACUGAUCCAUAUUGGCCUCAGGAGAUGUCUCAACACAGCACCCCAGCCAAUGGAGUUGCCACAUAAGAUGAACUUGUGAUCAUCUCUAAACUAGAGAGUUAAACUCAACACUAGUAAAUGACUUUGGGUUUAUGUAUAUGUCAUGUUUUCUCCGGCAACUGCUCAGAAUCAUCUCUAAAUAUCACGUCUAUGGUUGGCAGGAGUGGCAUGUAUAAUACAAAAUGUCUGGUGGCCCUAUUGUCACAAAACCUGUAUAAAAGUAAAUUCACAAAUGGCUUUUUAGAACUGAUGACAAAAAGUUACUCGUUAUCACUUUUCUACUUAAUUUCCUAAAAGGGCAAUUUGAAAUCACACUAGGAUUCUCACAAUUUUGGUUGACACUCAAGUAAACUGCAGCUACUUAUCAAGCACUUUUGAAUGAACAUAUGAAGAAUGAAUAAAAUGAAAGCUCUCCUGUUGCCCUCAGCGUCACCAGUGUUCUGUAUUUCUUCCUGAAACCUUUCCAUUGGUUUAAAAACCUUUCUCAAGUGAAAGCAAUCUCUUUAAAAACUGCAACAUACUGCUGAUAGUUUUCGCUGUGGAAACAUUCUCUAUGCCUGCAAACCAAAUCACCCACUCUCUUUUCCUGGGAAGCACAUCUUUCUCAGAGCAGAGCUUUGCAAAAAGGGGAAGCCAAAGCUUCCAAGAGGUGAUAGUUACAGCUGCUCUCUCUUCCUGUUGCCCCAGGUGCCAAGGUGCAGAGGGGCAAGGCAGCAAGGCCUAGCCUGGGCAGAACUUGUCGGUCAUUAACUUUGCAAAUUGACUUUCUGAACAACUGUGGUUUAUUUCACUUUGGUGUAUAUCUACUCAACUCCUCUCUAGUACGUUUUCCUUCCUAACUGUGUUUGCUCUGA
rnacentral:lncRNA from 10 species